GUAAAUGUGGAGCCGUAGCGAAAGCGAGUCUGAAUAGGGCGUUUAGUAUUUGGUCGUAGACCCGAAACCAGGUGAUCUACCCUUGGUCAGGUUGAAGUUCAGGUAACACUGAAUGGAGGACCGAACCGACUUACGUUGAAAAGUGAGCGGAUGAACUGAGGGUAGCGGAGAAAUUCCAAUCGAACCUGGAGAUAGCUGGUUCUCUCCGAAAUAGCUUUAGGGCUAGCCUCAAGUGAUGAUUAUUGGAGGUAGAGCACUGUUUGGACGAGGGGCCCCUCUCGGGUUACCGAAUUCAGACAAACUCCGAAUGCCAAUUAAUUUAACUUGGGAGUCAGAACAUGGGUGAUAAGGUCCGUGUUCGAAAGGGAAACAGCCCAGACCACCAGCUAAGGUCCCAAAAUAUAUGUUAAGUGGAAAAGGAUGUGGCGUUGCCCAGACAACUAGGAUGUUGGCUUAGAAGCAGCCAUCAUUUAAAGAGUGCGUAAUAGCUCACUAGUCGAGUGACACUGCGCCGAAAAUGUACCGGGGCUAAACAUAUUACCGAAGCUGUGGAUUGUCCUUUGGACAAUGGUAGGAGAGCGUUCUAAGGGCGUUGAAGCAUGAUCGUAAGGACAUGUGGAGCGCUUAGAAGUGAGAAUGCCGGUGUGAGUAGCGAAAGACGGGUGAGAAUCCCGUCCACCGAUUGACUAAGGUUUCCAGAGGAAGGCUCGUCCGCUCUGGGUUAGUCGGGUCCUAAGCUGAGGCCGACAGGCGUAGGCGAUGGAUAACAGGUUGAUAUUCCUGUACCACCUAUAAUCGUUUUAAUCGAUGGGGGGACGCAGUAGGAUAGGCGAAGCGUGCGAUUGGAUUGCACGUCUAAGCAGUAAGGCUGAGUAUUAGGCAAAUCCGGUACUCGUUAAGGCUGAGC
rnacentral:rRNA from 1 species